rnacentral:siRNA from 1 species
UCUCUACAUUGAGCCAUGGCG